rnacentral:lncRNA from 1 species
ACAAACUUAAACCCCACAUUCGUCGAUACAGGUAAAGCUAGCUCAUAAAAAAGUUUUUCUUCUUCUUCCUCUUUUUUCUUCCAAAAGAAAAGCCUAGAAUGAAAAUUCAGAACUAAAAGAAAAAUGCUCGGCGGUUGAAGUCUUCUCAAUGCAUUUCUCAUCUUCGAUCCCACAUGAAUUUUCACACAAGAAUCUUUGUACUGGAAUAAAAUAGAGGGGUAGUGAUCAUUAGACGAAUCUGUUGCAUCGUACGUAUAUAGCUUUUUCUUCUUUCUUUUUAAGGAAAAAAAUUUAAAGAAUCUGAUUAUGUCUGUAGAUGCAUGCCAAGAAUAAGCAAAUCGUACCAUCCCCAGAAUGACCAAUCUGGAAAAACAAUGUCCAAGGAGGCAUCAUCUCGACAGUAAGCGAAUAACGGCGGCGGGGCCGGUGAAUUUGGUCCGCUUUGAACUUCCUUCAUGAUAGCCGGCCGGUCGUUGCAGUCAAACAUGAGUUCCAGAUCAGGGAGUUGACCUGGGUACUUGCGCAAUAACUGAAGAAUCCCCCACAACGUAAAGGUGUCUCUGCUAUGAUGCGACCUCCUGAACUUCUCCAUGUAAGCCCUUCCAUUGACUAUAACCAAUCGGAAAUGGGCUGUCUUCCUAGCCAUGCUCAGCAUCUCCAACGUAAUUCCUGUUUCUCUCCAUGGCCAUAGGUCUUCGUGGAUCCAACGGAAGUAAUCUGGACACGCAGGUUGAGGAGGACUUGUAGCAAUGUUCUGAUCUUGUACGAGAAGCUGUGAUGGGUAGUAAUUUGCUGGGCAGGUCCGCUUCG